CUGUCAUGUCUACCUGGCAGCUCUCCAAACUACACCUCCCACAAAUCCUUUGUUUUCACGACGACUUCCUUCUGGAUUCAAAUAUCUACGUUGAAACGUGACGUCACACGCGCAAGAUCCCGCCCCCGGCUAACCAGACGAUGACUACCAUUGGUUAUAACUGUCUAGUCGUCAGCAUAACGCGCUAAAUCUUAAAUAUAAGCGUAAUAUAUAACAGGAAAAGGGACGGAAUGUUACUAACCUUGCUCCCUUAUCGACUGAAGGCGUACAGGAGUCACAGUGUGCCAGGGACUCGGUGGACUGUGGGAACGUGUUUGGGACGCUGUAGCUAAAGCACUGGCCCAGACAGGCUCUGUAUAACAAAGAGGAGAGAGUGCAUGAACGUGCCUGUCCCACAGACAUGAUGUGCUGGAGUCGACCGAAGCGCUCGCGCCUGUGUAAGCAAGAGCUGCAGGGGGAAAAAAAACAGAGCGCCUGAAAUCUGAACUGAUUUACAAAGCCUAAGGAUUCUCAGAGGCCUCGGGGAAAACAUACACUCACAAAAUGGAGACUUGUUUUUUACAAAUGGUGGUCAUUCGAGAGUUUUCGGAUGGUAAAAUCGACAUCAGGUUUCAGAUGAAUGAAUCUGCAUGACUUCAUUGGAGAAGACUGCUUACCAUAAAUAGAGCCUGCACUCAAAUCUAGAGAGAAAAGUAUAAAAUGAUUUGCACAUGGAAGGCUCUUAAUGUAACUUACUUAGUCCAAUAAAUUUGCACAGUCCUUAUUUUAACGGCUAUUAAUUUUUUUGUUUGACCUUUAUGCAUAUAUGUAGAAAUUUUAGCAAUGGAAAUAUUGAAACUAAUAAAACAGAUAAAUAAAAUGUCCUGAUGCCAA